AGAUUGAACGCUAGCGGGAUGCUUUACACAUGCAAGUCGAACGGCAGCGCGGACUUCGGUCUGGCGGCGAGUGGCGAACGGGUGAGUAAUAUAUCGGAACGUGCCCAGUAGCGGGGGAUAACUACGCGAAAGCGUGGCUAAUACCGCAUACGCCCUACGGGGGAAAGGGGGGGAUUCUUCGGAACCUCUCACUAUUGGAGCGGCCGAUAUCAGAUUAGCUAGUUGGUGAGGUAAAGGCUCACCAAGGCGACGAUCUGUAGCUGGUUUGAGAGGACGACCAGCCACACUGGGACUGAGACACGGCCCAGACUCCUACGGGAGCAGCAGUGGGAAUUUGGACAAUGGGGAAACCCUGAUCCAGCCAUCCCGCGUGUGCCGAUGAACGGCCUUCGGGUU
rnacentral:rRNA from 1 species